UAGGUUGCACGGGUACUCCAAGUUGGUGCCGUCUCACGUAUCGGGUUCGUAGGGGGGACGGGGACGUCUCGGGUACGCCUAGGAAACGUCCCCAAUAUGUGUGAGGUGAACCCGGGACGUCAAGACUCAUCGGGUACGGACUUGGUCAGAGAAGGAGACGUUCCGGAAACGUUUCCGCAGAAAAUAGACGUAUCCAUCUGUUUUUUUGUGUUAUAAGAAGUGUAAAAAAUUAAACCAUAUAUGUUUUUAACCUUUAAUGUGUUUAUUCUAUCAAUUUUGAAAAGAUCAAAAGUUGUAAUUAAAAAAAAUAAUAGUGUCUCUGUCUCUUCGAUUCUUUCACUCUCACUUUAGUCUCUUGCACUUCCAUCUUCUUUCUCUUUGAAACUCAAGUCUCGACCAUAUCUCUCUCUGUGAUAUAUCAGCAACAGAACCCAGAUGCACUUUCCUUACCUUCUUGUCUCUUUGUUGUUUAUAUCACAAGCAAAACGCG
rnacentral:lncRNA from 1 species